rfam:Gossypium raimondii chromosome 6, whole genome shotgun sequence.
GGGUGCGAUCGUACCAGCACUUAAGCACUAAAUCCAAUCAGAACUCUGCAGCUAAGCGUGCUUGGGGGUGAGUAGUACUAGAAUGGGUAACCUCUUGGGAAGUCCUCGUGUUGCACCUC